AUGAAGGAGGAGCUCGCCAUCCACGAGGAUCUCUGCAUAGCUCUGGAGAUGUUCAACAUGGCGAACAAAUGCGCAAGGGCUGAGGAGGGACGUCUCUCCCUCCUCAAGCUCCCUGAUGUUGAUCCAGAAGACAAGAAGACCAAGACCAAGGACGUGAAGCGCAAGGGGCCGACCGUGCUUGCGGCCGAACUAGAGACGAAGCGCGGAUGCCACCACCCCGAGUCAUCCAAGAGCAACCGGCCGUUCUGCGUCUUCCACAACGUUCACAGCCACAACACCAACGACUGCCAGGAGCUCGGGGCCCUCCGCGACGAGCGCCUCGGUCGACGCCCCGAGCGCAACGAUCGAGGCUACGGUCGUGGAGGUGGCCGAAGCGGAGGACGCUGGGACGGACGCGACCAUCGUCAGGAGUGGCGUGACCAGCUUCAUGAGGAUCGCUGGCAGGGCCAGCCUCGCGAAGGCGCCUGGAGGAAGCAGCCUCGUGAGGAGCGCCCUCAGGGUAACGCAGCUCUGCCUCCUCUGCCUUCAUCGCCAAGAAGGAACAAAGAUCAUCACCAGGACGAGGGGGCUGGGGGCUUCCAAGAGCCUUGA
rnacentral:rRNA from 1 species